UAGUUUCCUCAUAUGUCAAAUGAAGAUAAUAAUGUCCAGAUAAUAGGGUUGUUAACAAAGGUCAAAUAUAGCAAAGGAUGGGUCCAGCCCCACGGCCUAGUGGUUAAGUUGGGCAUGCUCCACUUUGGCGGCUUGGGUUCAGCUCCUGGGUACAAAUCUACACCACUUGUCACAGCCCGGCUGUGGUAGUGACUCACAUACAAAAUAGAGGAAGAUUGUCAUUGUCACAGAUGUUAGCUCAGGGCCAAUCUUCCUCAGCAAAAAAAGACAGAAAGAAAGAAAAUACUGCAAAGGAUGUAAUACCCAGCACGCGCUCAAUAAUCGUUAGCUGCUAUUAUUUUUCUUUAAUAUUUUAUGGACAAGAACACACAAUUGCUGAGAACCCUGUUGCAUGAGGUAAUUGUUUCAUAUUAAUUUACCCCUGACACUUUUUGAAGAAAUACUACUACUGGAGCAUUCAUGAGCCGUGCUUAUAUUCUGGAAUCUCUCAGAGCAUUCCUAAUCAGGGAAGUUGGCUACUUAGAGAUGAUAAAUGUAAAAAUCAAUGAAACAUGAAUAGAUGAAGGAUAGGAUUGUUAACAUGCCGGAUGCCUCCUAAAAAUCCAGAAGUAAGGCACAAAACCCAGAAGUGUGAAGCUCCCAGGUAUAGAGACACUGAAGGGAACCAGGAAGAAGCAGGGAGAAAUCCAGAUGGAAGAUACUUCAGGUGAGCUUCUCUGUCACUUGACAAGGUUCCAGGAGUGAGGGACAAGGAGGAUGCUCAUUAAUGAGAAAAAAAAUGGGGGGAGGGCCUGCAGUUUUACAGAGGCAGGUAAACGAGAGAGUCAUCAGUGAGUCAUGGGAUUCAUGAAAAAGGAUGGAGAUGGGUCCCAUCUGAGUCACUGAGGAAGAGUGGAAGUGAGUCUUAUCUUAUGUGAGGGCGGAGUGGUACUUUCAAGUCAGCCAUUUCUCAGAACACACAAGGGUGGGAGCACAGGGCUCAGAAAAAGUUCAACAUUGUCAUAUCUUUUUAUUCUUUUUUAAAAAUUCAAUUGUUAGUUGGUUUAAAUAAAAAGAGCUAUUUUAUUUUACAUACUGCCACAUUAUUCUUGUUUAUACAUUGAAGUAAAUUGAAAUAAUAAGUGGUACUGCAAGUAGUACAAGUAGUAAACUUAGAAACUGUGAUGGAAGCACAUUUCAAAUUUAUAGUUAAAAAGAAAUAAGAAAACGAAGCAAGCUCUUUCAAAACAUACAUUUGAAUUCUACAAUAUUUGUUUUUUGCAGAUGUCUAAAAUCAAAGUACUAGAGUAACAAAACUAACAUGUUUUUCUGUGAACUGA
rnacentral:lncRNA from 1 species